CAGUCGAGGGGCAGCAUGGUCUUAGCUUGCUAAGGCUGAUGGCGACCGGCGCACGGGUGAGUAACACGUAUCCAACCUGCCGUCUACUCUUGGCCAGCCUUCUGAAAGGAAGAUUAAUCCAGGAUGGCAUCAUGAGUUCACAUGUCCGCAUGAUUAAAGGUAUUUUCCGGAAGACGAUGGGGAUGCGUUCCAUUAGAUAGUAGGCGGGGUAACGGCCCACCUAGUCAACGAUGGAUAGGGGUUCUGAGAGGAAGGUCCCCCACAUUGGAACUGAGACACGGUCCAAACUCCUACGGGAGGCAGCAGUGAGGAAUAUUGGUCAAUGGGCGAUGGCCUGAACCAGCCAAGUAGCGUGAAGGAUGACUGCCCUAUGGGUUGUAAACUUCUUUUAUAAAGGAAUAAAGUCGGGUAUGCAUACCCGUUUGCAUGUACUUUAUGAAUAAGGAUCGGCUAACUCCGUGCCAGCAGCCGCGGUAAUACGGAGGAUCCGAGCGUUAUCCGGAUUUAUUGGGUUUAAAGGGAGCGUAGAUGGAUGUUUAAGUCAGUUGUGAAAGUUUGCGGCUCAACCGUAAAAUUGCAGUUGAUACUGGAUGUCUUGAGUGCAGUUGAGGCAGGCGGAAUUCGUGGUGUAGCGGUGAAAUGCUUAGAUAUCACGAAGAACUCCGAUUGCGAAGGCAGCCUGCUAAGCUGCAACUGACAUUGAGGCUCGAAAGUGUGGGUAUCAAACAGGAUUAGAUACCCUGGUAGUCCACACGGUAAACGAUGAAUACUCGCUGUUUGCGAUAUACGGCAAGCGGCCAAGCGAAAGCGUUA
rnacentral:rRNA from 1 species